GAGUGUGCGGUGAUGAGGCAGUUUAUUGGACUAGAGUUUCUGAUCUGGGCAUCACACUCAGAACUUGAUUAACAAACCCUUGGCUGUCUGAGCACACCU